rnacentral:tRNA from 1 species
UAGAAUAUGGUGUAUGUGGGUAGCACGAAGACUUUUGAACUCUUAGGAUUAGGUUCGACUCCUAUUAUUCUAG